rnacentral:rRNA from 1 species
GACGAACGCUGGCGGCGUGCUUAACACAUGCAAGUCGAACGGAAAGGCCCUGCUUUUGUGGGGUGCUCGAGUGGCGAACGGGUGAGUAACACGUGAGUAACCUGCCCUUGACUUUGGGAUAACUUCAGGAAACUGGGGCUAAUACCGGCUAGGAGCUCCUGCUGCAUGGUGGGGGUUGGAAAGUUUCGGCGGUUGGGGAUGGACUCGCGGCUUAUCAGCUUGUUGGUGGGGUAGUGGCUUACCAAGGCUUUGACGGGUAGCCGGCCUGAGAGGGUGACCGGCCACAUUGGGACUGAGAUACGGCCCAGACUCCUACGGGAGGCAGCAGUGGGGAAUAUUGCACAAUGGGCGGAAGCCUGAUGCAGCAACGCCGCGUGCGGGAUGACGGCCUUCGGGUUGUAAACCGCUUUCGCCUGUGACGAAGCGUGAGUGACGGUAAUGGGUAAAGAAGCACCGGCUAACUACGU